GCCUAAAGGGGCCGUAGCUUGAUAAUAGGGUCCCUUGAGAAAUCCGCCGGCUUAACUGGCGGGCGUUCAGGGGAAACUUGUUUUCUAGGGACCGGGAGAGGUGAGGGGUACUGCCGGGGUAGGAGUGAAAUCCUGUAAUCCCGGUGGGACCACCUAUGGCGCAGGCAUCUCACCAGAACGGGUCCGACAGUGAGGGACGAAAGCUGGGGGAGCAAACCGGAUUAGAUACCCGGGUAGUCCCAGCUGUAAACUAUGUGCGUUAGGUGUGUCAGUGACCACGUGUCACUGAGGUGCCGAAGGGAAACCGUGAAACGCACCGCCUGGGGAGUACGGUCGCAAGGCUGAAACUUAAAGGAAUUGGCGGGGGAGCACCACAACGGGUGGAGCCUGCGGUUUAAUCGGACUCAACGCCGGGAAUCUCACCGGAUAAGACAGCUGAAUGAUAGUCGGGAUGAAGACUCUACUUGACUAGCUGAGAGGAGGUGCAUGGCCGUCGUCAGUUCGUACUGUGAAGCAUCCUGUUUAGUCAGGCAACGAGCGAGACCCACGCGAGCAGUUGCCAGCUUGACCUUCGGGUUGAUGGGGACACUGCUCGGACCGCCUCUGCUAAAGGGGAGGAAGGACUGGGCAACGGUAGGUCAGCCUGCCCCGAAUUAUCCGGGCUACACGCGGGCUACAAUGGACAGGACAAUGAGUUUCGACACCGAGAGGUGAGGAUAAUCUUCUAACCCUGUCCCAAGUUCGGAUUGCGGGUUGUAACUCACCCGCAUGAAGCUGGAAUCCGUAGUAAUCGCGUUUCAACAUACCGCGGUGAAUAUGUCCCUGCUCCUUGCACUCACCGCCCGU
rnacentral:rRNA from 1 species